GACAGAGGUGCCGAGCGUUAGGCGGAAUCACUGGGCUUAAAGCGUGUGUAGGCGGCGGCGUAAGUACCUUGUGAAAUCCCACGGCUCAACCGUGGAACUGCGCGGUAUACUGCGUCGCUUGAGCCAGCUAGGGGCGACCGGAACAAACGGUGGAGCGGUGAAAUGCGUAGAUAUCAGGAGGAACACCGGUGGCGAAGGCGGGUCUCUGGGCCAUUACUGACGCUGAGGAGCGAAAGCGUGGGGAGCGAACAGG
rnacentral:rRNA from 1 species